rnacentral:rRNA from 1 species
GACGAACGCUGGCGGCGUGCUUAACACAUGCAAGUCGAACGGAAAGGCCCUGCUUUUGUGGGGUGCUCGAGUGGCGAAAGGGUGAGUAACACGUGAGUAACCUGCCCUUGACUUUGGGAUAACUUCAGGAAACUGGGGCUAAUACCGGAUAGGAGCUCCGGCUGCAUGGUGGGGGUUGGAAAGUUUCGGCGGUUGGGGAUGGACUCGCGGCUUAUCAGCUUGUUGGUGGGGUAGUGGCUUACCAAGGCUUUGACGGGUAGCCGGCCUGAGAGGGUGACCGGCCACAUUGGGACUGAGAUACGGCCCAGACUCCUACGGGAGGCAGCAGUGGGGAAUAUUGCACAAUGGGCGGAAGCCUGAUGCAGCAACGCCGCGUGCGGGAUGACGGCCUUCGGGUUAUAAACCGCUUUCGCCUGUGACGAAGCGUGAGUGACGGUAAUGGGUAAAGAAGCACCGGCUAACUACGUG